CGCCUUGCCAGCCCGCUCAGAAACUCAAAGGAAGUUGACGGGGGCCCGGCACAAGCGGUGGAGUAUGUGGUUUAAUUUCGAUGCAACGCGAAGAACCUUACCUGGUCUUGACAUCCCGGAGACCCUUAGGAAACUAGGGGGUGCUUCCAUCUGGAAGAAUCUGGAGACAGGUGCUGCAUGGCUGUCGUCAGCUCGUGUCGUGAGAUGUUGGGUUAAGUCCCGCAACGAGCGCAACCCUUGCCUUUAGUUGCCAGCAGUUCGGCUGGGCACUCUAAAGGGACUGCCGGUGUUAAACCGGAGGAAGGUGGGGAUGACGUCAAGUCCUCAUGGCCUUUAUGACCAGGGCUACACACGUACUACAAUGGCCGAUACAAAGGGCAGCGACACUGCGAGGUGAAGCCAAUCCCGUAAAAUCGGUCUCAGUCCGGAUUGGAGUCUGCAACUCGACUCCAUGAAGUUGGAAUCGCUAGUAAUCGUGGAUCAGCAUGCCACGGUGAAUACGUUCCCGGGCCUU
rnacentral:rRNA from 1 species